rnacentral:rRNA from 1 species
ACGGGAGGCAGCAGUGAGGAAUAUUGGUCAAUGGACGGAAGCCUGAACCAGCCAAGUCGCGUGAAGGAUGAAGGUAUUAUGUAUUGUAAACUUCUUUAGCAGCAGAGUAAUAAGGUCCUCGUGAGGGCUGAUGCAAGUAUGCUGAAAAUAAGGAUCGGCUAACUCCGUGCCAGCAGCCGCGGUAAUACGGAGGAUCCGAGCGUUAUCCGGAUUUAUUGGGUUUAAAGGGUGCGCAGGCGGCUUUUUAAGUCAGCGGUAAAAUCGCGGGGCUCAACCCCAUCCUGCCGUUGAUACUGGAGAGCUUGAUUGCGGUUGAGGUUGGCGGAAUUCGUCGUGUAGCGGUGAAAUGCAUAGAUAUGACGAAGAACACCGAUUGCGUAGGCAGCUGACCAAGCCGUAAAUGACGCUCAUGCACGAAAGUGCGGGGAUCGAACAGGAUUAGAUACCCUGGUA